UAUUUGAUAGGGUGCCCGUACCGUAAACCGACACAGGUGGAAUAGAUGAGUAUUCUAAGGCGCGUGGGUUAAAUCUCUCUAAGGAACUCGGCAAACUGACCCCGUAUGUUAGCUAUAAGGGGUGCCUCGCAAGAGGCCACAGAUAAGAGUGUCAACCGACUGUUUAGCAGAAACACAGCUCUCUGCUAAGUCGCAAGACGAUGUAUAGGGAGUGACAUGUGACCAAUGCGGAAAGGUGAAAGCCUGGGGUGCAAGCUCCGGGUCUAAGCCCCCGUGAAUGUCGGCCGUAACUAUAACGGUCCUAAGGUAGCGAAAUUCCUUGUCGGGUAAGUUCCGACCCGCACGAAUCAUGUAACGAGUUGACAACUGUCUCGGAGAGAGGCCCAGUGAAAUUGUAGUGGCGGUGAAGAUGCCGCCUACCCGCAGCAGGACGGAAAGACCCUAUGCACCUUUACUGUAAGCUGUUAUUGUCGCUUGAUUUUUAAUACGUAGCAUAGCUGGGAGACUGCGAAGCCUGCCUUCAGGGGCGGGCCGAGUCGAAAUAUGAAAUACCAGUUUUUAAUUGUUAGGCGUCUAACCUCGACCCAUUAUCUGCGCGUGGGACAGUGAUAGCAGGUCAGUUUUUCUGGGGCGGAAUCCUCCCAAAGAGUAACGGAGGAUUACGAAGGUUCCCUCAGCCCGGUCGGUAAUCGGGCUAUAGAGCGCAUGAGUAUAAGGGAGCUUUACUGUGAGACCAACAAGUCGAGCAGUUGCGAAAGCAGGUUCAAGUGAUCCGGUGGUUGAAUGUGGAAUCGCCAUCGCUCAUAGGACAAAAGGUACGCUAGGGAUAACAGGCUGAUCGCGCCCAAGCGUUCACAGCGACGGCGCGGUUUGGCACCUCGAUGUCGGCUCAUCACAUCCUGGGGCUGGAGAAGGUCCCAAGGGUCCGGCUGUUCGCCGGUUAAAGUGGUACGCGAGCUGGGCUCAGAACGUCGUGAGACAGUUCGGUCCUCUAUCCGCUGUGGGCGUUUGUGAUUUGAGGGGUUCAUUCUCUAGUACGAGAGGACCGAGAAUGACGCACCGCUGGUGUUCCGGUUGUCACGUCAGUGGCAGCGCCGGGUAGCUAUGUGCGGAAGAGAUAAGCGCUGAAAGCAUCUAAGCGCCAAGCUCCUCCCAAGAUAAGAUCACAAUCCGUCGCAAGACGGUGCAAGGUCCGGGUAGACCACCCGGUUGAUAGGACAGAAGUGCAAGCGUAGUAAUACGUUCAGCUUACUGUUACUAAUGACCUU
rnacentral:rRNA from 1 species